GAGCUGAAGGUUCGAGUUACCAAACGUCAGCCUCGAAACCUUAAUGACUUGGAGAAGGUCUGCAAAGAGGAGUGGGACAAAAUCCCUCCUGAGAUAUGUGCAAAGCUGGUGGCCAACUACAAGAAACGUCUGACCUCUGUGAUUGCCAACAAGGGUUUUGCCACCAAGUACUAAGUCAUGUUUUGCAGAGAGGUCAAAUACUUAUUUCCCUCAUUACAAUGCAAAUCAUUUUAUAACAUUUUUGACAUGCGUUUUUCUGGACUUUUUUGUUGUUAUUCUGUCUCUCACUGUUCAAAUAAACCUACUAUUAAAAUUAUAGACUGAUCAUUUCUUUGUAAGUGGGCAAACGUAGAAAAUCAGCAGGGGAUCAAAUACUUUUCCCCCCCACUGUAUGUCUUAUUUUCUAACAUUGCUUUCGUCUCUGUCUGCUGUCUAGAGAGAGAAAUACAGCCGAUUUGUUGGAAUUUAUCAAGGAAAGUCAAUUGUCAAGGCAGAGUGCCAAUGUGGCUGUUCGCCAAGUUUCUCUAGGAGACAGCUUCUGUAUAAAUGAUGUCAACCCACAGAAAGGCUGUCCUGUCCUGCACCUCUACCUGAGUUUUGUGUGCAAAACUGUGUGCAAACCUGGUGGCCAACUACAAGAAACGUCUGACCUCUGUGAUACUAAGUCAUGUUUUGCAGAGAGGUCAAAUACUUAUUUCCCUCAUUAC
rnacentral:lncRNA from 1 species